GCACAGCCUGGCCACACCCGACCCGAGACCUAAAUCGCCGCCACCGUUCCUCGCCACUGCGGCGACCGCCGUUCUCCUCCCCCUCCCACCCCGCAUCGGAGAGGAAGAUCGCCGCGCCAGCGCCACCAUACCCGACCCUCGACUCCACCACUCUCGGCGGUGUGUGCUAGUCUAGUCUGUCUCCACCCCGACGAAUUUGCUUCGCCUGAUAGCGAUUAGGCUGCAAUGGGUAGAUGAUUAAUUUUUGAAGCCCAGCUCAUCGUUAAUAACAGGCCGAAAGCCCAGAAACCCAGCAGCAGUGUGCAACGAGACGAUCAGAUUGUUCUCUUUUACCAUCGUCUCGGACAAGGCAACAGAGAGCAGGCAGAAGGAUGGAUGAGCAAGAUGAUAAAAGUACAAAGGCUGAGCUGAAACUAUGUGGUGACAUAGCUGUUAAGAGGAAGAAUUACCGUGGCGCGUCAGCAUUCUACAGCGAGGCAAUUGAGCUGGACCCUAAUGAUGCGACGCUGUACGCAAACAGGAGCCUUUGCUACCUGCAAAUGACUGAAGCAGAUAAGGCUUUGCAUGAUGCUAACACCUGCAUAAAACUGCGUCCUGAAUGGUUAAAAGGUUACUACAGGAAAGGAUCUGCUCUUAUGUCGCUCAAGGAGUACAAAGAAGCAUGUGAUGCGUUCGAAGCCGGACUGAAACUGGACCCUGGAAACACCGAGUUGGAGAAAGUAUUCCAGGAGGCAGUUGAGGCGAUGAAAAAGGAUGACUUGGCCAGAAAAAGAGAAAAUGCUUCAAGCCAUCCAGCUAGAGAAAAACAGGCACGCAAGGGGCGCGGCCGCAACACCCACUGAGCUGCUGCAACAACGUACGCGGGCGAUUGUGCUAAGCCAGCCACCGCCUGCAUCCCUAUGGGAUUUCACUGAAUUUCCCGUUUUGUACACAAUAUUUAGUAAAACGUACACUGUAGCUGUGAGAUUGGUUUUUGAAUUGCGCCGUUUACAGCUUGGUUCUGUUUUAUAUCACCAAACCGUAUGUAACUUGGUUCAGUUUUAUCACCAAAAUUGGCAGCUAUCUGUCAGCCUAGCUAUCACCAAAUUUAUGUAUGAUCUUACGGUUCAUGAUGUGCUGGAGCUCUCAGAAAUCAGAACGUUUGUACGAUGCAUCACAC
rnacentral:rRNA from 1 species